GUAAUAAUCAGUUAGCAAAGCGACGUUGCCGAGUCAACAUGUCCAUUUGCAAUAAACAACUCUAUACUGAAUUCCUCAAAAUGUACAUAGAUAAAACUUGUCUUUGGGAUAAACGGGACCUUUGGUACAAAAGACAAGAUCGUCGGUUGCAGGCUAUUAAGGAAUUGCAUGAAAAAUACUUGGAAAUUAACAAGGGCGCUACAAUUGCUCAGAUGAAAAAUAAAAUUGAAAACAUGCGAACUUGUUGUAGUAAAGAAGUUAAAAAGGUCUUAGCUGCGGAAGCUAGAGGAGAAACAUAUAAGCCAACACUGUGGUACUUUAAUAUAUUGGCGCCUAUUUACAAGGAUUGCAUUCAAGAUAAUACCGAGGACUCGGUCAGUUCUACCUCAAGCAAUGAUGGCGACGAUAAUGAGAGUGAGAUUAUGUUUAUAGAGAAACUUGAAUAUUCUGAACCUGAAUAUAUUGAACCUAACAGCUUCAGUUUAGAAGACUGCAGCAAUAAUGAUGACGACCAGCGCCGGAGUAAGUCAACCGCAGCAUUAUCUACCAGGACCGCAGAACCAAAAGAAGUUCCUCUCCAAAUCAAGGCGUUUGGUCGUACAAUGGCUGCACAACUCAACGAAGUAGACGAAUAUCAAAGAUUUAUUGCAGAAAAACUAAUAUCAGAUGUUGUUUUUAACGCUAGGGUAAAGAAAUUAGCACCGGAUUCGUUCAUUAAUAUAUAAUAAAUAUGUCGUAUAUAUUUUGUUAUAUUUUUGUAUAAUGUAAUAAAUUAAGUAACAUCGACCUA